rnacentral:lncRNA from 1 species
AAUUUUGAUUGUCAAACCAUUCCGAUUUGAUUAGAUUAGAUUAGAUUGGAGUUUUCUGGACUAUGCAUUCAUUGGAGACCUGAAAACUUUCUGGACUCUCAGUUACAGCCUUCUUGUCAGAGGAAAUAAUAUAUAUACAGGACAAAAUGAAACACCUAAACAAAAACUGCCAACAGAAAGCUGUUCUUUGCCAUUCCUUAUUUGUCUUAAUUGAUGCAGCCUUGGCUGGCUCGGAUCUUACUGGAUAGAAUAGGCUGGACUGGAACUUAUGGCCAUCUUCCUACGUCUGUCUCCAGAGUUCUGGGAUUGUAGGCAUGCUUUACUAUGCCCAGCUAUGCACAUACAGAUAAUUUAUAAGAUUUGUAAAGUUAGCCAUUAUAAAUGUGAAACCUUAAAGAAUUUAGUGAAAAAGUCUGAAGGACUAAAGAGGAAAAAAAAUGAUGUUUCAUCAAAGAGAGACUACAAUGAUGGUGUAGACUUUAAAAAGAGACACAUGAAUAUUCUGGAAUUUAAAAGCAUAGCAAAUGAGUUACCAGAGGGACUCAACAGCAUACAUGAACUAGCAGGGUAAGUAGCCAACUUGGAAAUAGUUCCACAGAGAUUAUCUGGUGUAAGGAGAUCCCCCCACAAACAAAAUACAGGAAAGUGACAAAGAGACACCAUCACAUGUACCAAUGUAGGCAUAAACAGCUCCAUGAGAUGUUCUUUUGCCACUUUGUGAGUUCUUCCUUCUUUUCCCCUCUAUCCAUUUUCUUCCUAACACCUUAACACUAAAUUGGAGAACCGGAAAUUAAAAAAAGAUGAAAAAAAAAAGAUAGAGCGGAAAGGGAGUGAUGUUAUCACUAGACUACUAAUUAGGGGCAUCAAGUUUCUUGGGGCAAGUUUGAUCUUCAUGAUCUUCAUGUGCAUGAGUACUUCACAAACCACAACCAACAGCAACCAACAACCAACCAAUAACCCACACUGCCUCUUGGGACCCUAGCAUCUAUAUAGCCUCUGAAAAGACCUCAGAUUUCCAAACACACAGUCACAGAAAUUAUCUUCAGCUAGCAAAGUCACCCCCGUUCUAGAGCGCAAAGCAAAUCAUAGUCAGCUGCUGGGGAAGCAGCCCCAUAUCCCACAUUGAGAUUAUAAUGAAAAUCUAUUCUUACAAUAUUUCUUUGUUUUUAAAGAAACCAAAUUUCUCACUACAGGUCUAGAAGAGAAGACAAGGAUAAUAUUUAAAGAAACAAUUUCAGAAAACUUCCCAAGUGAGCUAAAAUAUAUUAAUUUAUACAUUCAAGAAGUUGAGGAUAAUCUGAAUGAGUUAAAUACCAAGAUACCCAUAUCUAGAUACUCUUGUACACUUAUGAAAGUGAAUGGCAGAAAGGCAUUGAUGGUAGCUGGGGAUUGACACUCAGUUACAGUACUUGGGUUGGAAGACAUUUCAUCAUUGGAUGGAAAAGACUGUUGACCAGAAGUUUUGUGUCUAGCCAAACUCUUAAAAAAAAAAUCGAAGACAUUCUAAAUAAGCAAAACCUAGAAGCGUUUGUCACCAAAAGACCUCUAUAACAAACUGCAAAGGGACUCCCAAUAGUUCAAAUAAAAGAUCACAAGAUGCCACAUGAAAUAAAGAGCAAUUGUAAAAGUGACAAUAGAUCUAUGAAGGACGGGUAUGUAUAAAAAUACAUGUAAUAUAAUUCUGCUUCUAGUAUUCUCCAAACUACAGUUAACAGCAAAACUUAUAAAAUUAUAUUUAUAAUUUGAUAUAUGAUUUUAUCCUCAAAAGGAUAAUUUAGAAAAAAUAUUAUCUUUAGGAAGACUACUAAGAAAAUAACUAAACAAAUAUAGUAAAAGAAACAACACAGGUAUGUGAAAAUAUACUAGAAAGUAACGGAGUAAUGAACUUAGAAUUGAAGAUAUUAAAUAGCUCAGUCAUAGUCUCAUAAAUGAAGAUGUACUGCUACAGGACAUUUAAGUUUAUAAACCUAACACAUAAUUUCUCUUUAAUUUUAAAACAUUUUUAUUUUCAAUUAUGUUUGUUGUUUGUGUGAUACAGAGUAUGUACGCAUGUGUCCAGCUUCCUGUGCAUGCUAGAAGAGGAAGCUCUACGCCCUGGAGCUGUAGGUAUCAGGUCACUGGGACAUACUUGUUGGUGCUGGGACUCAAGUUCAGGAUCUGUGUUAAAGCACCAUAUGCUUUUACCUGCUAAGCCAUAGUUCCAGCACUUUCCACCAUAAUUAAGAUAAAUUAGAAAGAGAAAUUUUAAGGAAAUAGAAUUAUUUACAGUUUGGUCAAACCUGGGGGAGAAAGGCUUUCUUUUAUUUUCCUGCUUUUCCUAAAUCAGGGUCACAACUUUCUAGAAACGAUGAAAACCAUUCAUGCUAGCUUCCCUGAGAACUGACUCUUCCAGUGAAGCUUAUCUGGAUGGCAUCAGGGCUUCAGGUGCUUCACCUGUCAUGAGAAGCUUGAAUUUGGGUUUGUUGGAUCAGUAGUCUCAGUAGUGGAAGAGGAAGUACAUUUGUCUUGCUUUAUACUGGCUCUUUUCCUGUCAAGGCUCCAGUGAAGGUUUAUGGUGAGAGUAAUGCAUGCAUUUCCUAUGUUAAAUUAUAUGCUCAGAUAAUUGUUGAAGAGAAAUGCUAAGUAGUUGAUGGGAUAUCUCUCAAUGGAUUUUUAAAAAAUAGGACAUAAAAUGCAUAGUGGUUGCAGAAUUUUGUAUCCCAUAAGUGUUGGGAAACACUGACCACCUUAGCUGUUACUCAGAGUCUUAUCCUAAUGCUACAAAUUAGCCUUUGUUUUCUUUAUAUUUUCUAAGGAACAUUGUUAUUUUUAAUGGUCUUCCUAUAAUAUUUGCUAAUAUUUUGCUGUUUCUAACUUAACAGUAGACUAUUAGAACUAAUACUGUCCUAAUUUGAACAAUAAGU